UCCGCAGUAGCUCAGCGGUAGAGCGGCGCCCUGUUAAGGCGAUGGUCCCAGGUUCGAUCCCUGGCUGCGGAG
rfam:Candidatus Doudnabacteria bacterium RIFCSPHIGHO2_01_FTLL_49_9 rifcsphigho2_01_scaffold_57298, whole genome shotgun sequence.